rnacentral:tRNA from 1 species
UAGCUUAGUUGGUAAAGAAUCUGCCUGCAAUGCAGGAGACCCUGGUUCAAUUCCUGG